UACGUAGGGGGCAAGCGUUGUCCGGAAUCAUUGGGCGUAAAGAGCGUGUAGGCGGCCCGAUAAGUCCGCUGUGAAAGUCCAGGGCUCAACCCUGGAAUGCCGGUGGAUACUGUCGGGCUCGAAUCCGGAAGAGGAGAGUGGAAUUCCUGGUGUAGCGGUGAAAUGCGCAGAUAUCAGGAGGAACACCAAUGGCGAAGGCAGCUCACUGGGACGGUAUUGACGCUGAGACGCGAAAGCGUGGGGAGCAAACAGG
rnacentral:rRNA from 1 species